rnacentral:rRNA from 1 species
AACGAACGCUGGCGGCAGGCUUAACACAUGCAAGUGGAACGCAUCGCAAGAUGAGUGGCAGACGGGUGAGUAACGCGUGGGAACAUACCCUUUUCUACGGAAUAGCUCUGGGAAACUGGAAUUAAUACCGUAUACGCCCUACGGGGGAAAGAUUUAUCGGGGAAGGAUUGGCCCGCGUUGGAUUAGCUAGUCGGUGGGGUAAAGGCCUACCAAGGCGACGAUCCAUAGCUGGUCUGAGAGGAUGAUCAGCCACAUUGGGACUGAGACACGGCCCAAACUCCUACGGGAGGCAGCAGUGUGGAAUAUUGGACAAUGGGCGCAAGCCUGAUCCAGCCAUGCCGCGUGAGUUAUGAAGGCCUUAGGGUUGUAAAGCUCUUUCACCGAUGAAGAUAAUGACGGUAGUCGGAGAAGAAGCCCCGGCUAACUUCGUGCCAGCCGCCGCAGUAAUAC